ACCCGGACUCUUCGUGAGACAAAUAGGUCAAAAGAACCUGAAAAGUUCUCACACUAAUGUCUGAUUUUAUGGUGAAGAGAUGAUGCUAUCUACAUCCAAGUGAUCUUGCUUUGUCUACUUAUGCUCUUGUCAAGUCAUCUCCAUUUGCGCUUCGCCCAACAUCAAGCCAUCUUCAUUUGAGGUUCAAACUUGUCAUGUUGCUUUCACACCACGCCAAGUUUGCGGGGGAGUAUUAGAGGAUCCAUAUGAAACCCAAUAUAGUGUCUCAUGAGUAAUCCAAAAGCCCAUGUAACUAGGGUUAGCAAGAUAGUGACUCAUAUAUAUAGUUAUGUAAUGAGAGCUUUGAGAGCAACUUUGAGAGUUGGAAACAACUCUCCUCCUUCAUCUUAUGAAAUAUCAAUUCUAGAAUCAUUGGAUCUUGGUGACAAACCUUAAGCUUCUUUCCCUUCUUUACAUUUCUUAAUAAAGCUCUUAAUGAGUUAUCUAAUUUCAGUUUAUAUUUCUUUCAAUAAGCAUCAAUCUAUGUUUGCUUUAGAAUUGUCUACAACCGUUACUCACAUUUCUUAACUGGACCACUAGUGGGUCUUCAAAUGAUGUCAUGAACUUCACAUUCUUUGUUUGAAAUUUAUGAGGUAAACGACAUGUGUUUCCGUAGAAAGUUUCAUAUAGCAUUAUAACUAUACAGAUUUCGGACCUCUAUCCCACUUCAUAUGAAAGUUAAAGUCCAAUUUCUCCUUAAAUCGCAAGUUCGAAUCCUUAAUUUUCAUAAAUUCAAAUUUUGUAGUUUAUCUUUGGUUUACAGUGUCGAAGCAAUGCCAAACGAAAACCAAGUAGACUAAACCAAAUAUAAAUUGAGGGAGUUAAGUGAGUCUCCUGGACUAGUCGUCGUCGUUGUCCAAGUCUACCUAUAUAUAUAUCUUUUUUUUUUUUUUCUAUUUCUGAAAAAUCUUCCAAGUCUACUUGCACCAUCUUGUACGCCUUAUUAGUUAUUACUGAGUCUAUGGGCACAACCAAAUGAAAGCUGAAAGCUCUUCGAUUGACUAAUAAAUCUCGAUUAUUUUUCAUCUUUCCAUUUUCACAAUUCCAUUUAUUUAUUUUUUUAUAAAAAACAAUUUAACUUCAUUUAUUUUCUUUAUAUAAAACUUACAAGAAAAUCAUUUUAAUAAGACCAAAUAUUUAUCAAAAAAUAAUAAAUAUUUUGUUACGAUAAAAAAUAUUAAAAAUUUAUGACAAUUUUAAAUAUGUUUUUUAAUUAAAUGUUAAAUUAUAUUCAAAGAAAAAAUAUCGUUGUUACAACAAGGUACAAUACAAUCAUCACAACUUUUUUGCUGUAAAAAAAAAAAAACACUUUUUUGCUGUAACUAAGAGCAUGCACAUAGUUGAUAUCCUAUGAGUAUCAUUAACAAUUUUUUACUAUUAAUUUUAAUGUUUUUUAUUGUUUGAUAUUUUUUAUGAUAUUCGUAAUAAAUUGUUUCCAGUGGUGAGACCGAUAUUGGUAUCAUUAAAAACAAAAUAUUUAUAAAAUCAAAAAAUAAAUUUAUAAAAAUAUAAGAUUACAAAAUUACUGUAAAAUUAUGUCGCAUAAUCACGAAAAACCUACAAAAUUACUUACUCGCAGAAAAUAUAGCUAGUUGACUAAAAUAGUAGAAAGACUAUCAGAGAGAAAAAUGAAUUAUUUUUUUUCAAGAAAAAACGACUUUCAAAAACGAAUCAUGAGCCUCCACAUCAUCUGAUACUGGGUAUCAAAAGAAUCACUGCAGUGAUACGGUAUCAAGCCUAAAUCUAUUGUUUGAUCUAUUAAAAAUUAUUUAUGACUCUUGAUACUCUAAAUGUCUCACCUAUGUACAUGGUCUAAAACGUCACAUAUAUUGCGACAAACAAAUCGAGUAGCUAUUUCGUCACAAUAUGUAACAAUUGGUAAGCUUAUCAAAACCAUCACUAAUGCAUAAUGAAAUUAUCAUCUCUAAACCGUGACCGAUACCGAGUCUCAAGUUCGUUACUAAUUACGACGAAACUAUAGUUUCAAAAUUUCAUAGUUAAUGACUUAUAAAGUAUCACUUAUCUGGCACAUAUUACUAACUAAAAAACUGUCCUCGAACAAUCAUAUUUUUUGCUCCAUUACAACAAUUAUUUUUGUCUUAAACUGUCACAAAUGAAUACUAAAAAUUAUGGUAAUUAGUCAAAAGUAUUAACUAAAACUAUUGUUUCAAAACCGUCAUAUUUUGUGACUAUAAUAACGUCUUAAUUAUGUCACUCCUAACAACAAACCCAUAGUUUCAAACCGUCGCAAACGAUAACCAAAACAAAAGUCUCAUAUUCGUAAACAAAACAGCAACUUUUUUUUUUCUUGAAACCCUUGUGUUUGGUUACUACGACAGACUCAUCUCCAAUCCGAUUUGACAUUAUUGUUUUACUCAAUUAUUAUCACAAUGAUACAAAAGCUUAUCAUGUAUUAGAUAUUCAUUAUAAAUUAAUAUUAUAAUAUGAAUUUAUUAAUUCAUAAUUAAAAAAACAAACCAAUAUCCAUUAACGUAACCAUGAAAUAUAAAUAAAAUCCAAAACAAAUAACGUGAUAUGAGAUAGAAUUAAAAGCCUAAGUUAUCCUGAGGAAACUAAAUAAAACCCUACUAAAUAAAAUAGCAAAUUCAAUUAAGCAGCAAAUCAAAUUUAAUUUCUUGGAGAUUAUUCCUCGAGGAGUAAAUUCUCAUCAGGAAUAUUUUUCAAUUCAUUUUCAAGUUCUUCAAUUUGAUGAGUCUACCAUUUAUUAGAACACACAUAAAAGCCCAAACUAUAUUUUUAUAGAAGCCUAUCCAAACUCAUGUAAUUAGGUUAUCUAGCAAGUAGUCUCUCAUGUAUAUAUUCAUGUAUUGUGAACUAUGUGUGUAACCUAGAGAGUUGCCACAUUGAGCAACUCUUCUCUAGUCUCUAUUGUAUGAAAUCAAAUCCAAAUCUAUUUUACUCUUGAAGACAACUUAAAACUUUCACCUUUCUCUCUUCUUUUCAUUUUCAAUAAAGCUCAUUGAGCUAUUGCAUUUUCAAUCUCUUCUAAUAAGCUCAAUGAGCAUAUAUUUAGAAAUGUUUGCAUGGUAUCAGAGCAUCAGUCCAUCUAAGGGAUUUAUGGUUUUACUCUCACUAUCUUAGUCUCUGCUCACUCUUUGAAACGUCGAGCCUUCUAUCUUUCCCACAAUAUCUAAAGCAAGGCUAGUCUUUAGUUUCUCUCACUUUCAGUAAACCCGACAGAAGAAAUCUUAGUCUCAUUAUCUAUGGAUAAGAUUCCAGUCUCGUCAGCGACAAAGUUUUCUGUUAAAGAAUCACAAAAGCUUGAUGAAUCUGAUGAAGGAGAAGCAACGAGAGCUAAAGCAAGAACUUGAGAGAUUGGAGAAGAAAAGGUGAAGACUGGUUUCUGAGGAAGAGAGGCAGAAUUGGUUGAAGAUUUCUAUGUAUUAAACGAAGAGAUCAGAGCCACCACUGCUUGAGUAUGACUCUGCCUUGUCUAGUACGCCAGGUGUUCGACGAAAAUUCCAGACUUGAAUGUUGUCUCAGCUACAUCGGAGAUAUAAACGGUAAUGUAUUUGCCUUGCUCUGAAACAGAACAAGAGUAAUGAUGAUGGUUGGUUUAGAUUUCUAGGUCUGGAAUUGAGAAGUUAGAAUGAAAUAGGUUGUUUAGUUUGGACAAAUCAGAUUAGGAGCACUUUGCUCAAUCUAUCUUCAUGGAACGUUGGCUGUUGAUGAGCUCUUGGAAGGGCUAAAAGCUGGUCUUGGUUUUGUUUUGAUAAAGAUGUGUUUAUGGGCUGCAAAACUCUGUUGAUUUUAUGGCAAACACAAGUUUUUGAUUGACGCACGUAAGAUGUUCGAUAAAAUGCCGUAGAGAAGAGAAACUGAGUAUAUAGAUGCAAAUUGUGAUUGGCUAAAGAAUGAGAAACAGAUAGCUAGUAGGAUCUAAGUAGUUGUGGGAAGAGAAUUCUUCUUCUUCAUGGGACAGCUUAGGGGAGUUAAACGAGGUAAAGAAAACCCGGACUCUUCGUGAGACAAAUAGGUCAAAAGAACCUGAAAAGUUCUCACACUAAAGACUGAUUUUAUGGUGAAGAGAUGCUACUAUCUACAACCAAGUGAUCUUGCUUUGUCUACUCAUGCUCUUGUCAAGUCAUCUCCAUUUGUGCUGCCAUUUCAAUUGAAGUUCAAACUUGUCAUGUUGCUUCCACACCACGCCAAGUUUGCGGGGGAAUAUUAGAACACACAUAAAAGCCCAAACUAUAUCUUUAUAGAAGCCCAUCCAAACCCAUGUAAUUAGGUUAUCUAGCAAGUAGUCUCUCAUAUAUAUAUUCAUGUAUUGUGAACUAUGUGUGUAACCUAGAGAGUUGCCAC
rnacentral:lncRNA from 1 species